rnacentral:lncRNA from 1 species
CUUCACCAGCUUUGUCAAAAACCCUGCCCUCACAACCAUUUUGUGCAUCCAUAAAUGCAAGGUACGCUCUUCCCAGCACUCAAACUUUCUCUUCUUCCACUUUGUGAAGCAAUUGCCUGGCGCUCUUAGCUCCCACACAUCUGGAGGAGGAGUCGUAUGACAGUGGCUAGUGAAGAUUUCCUUUUGGCAACCUUCAGUGUACAAAGGAGGAUGGGGAUCAGAGGGACAGGCAUGUUACAAAAGCUACCAAAGCAAUGUUUUAGGAAUAUUAAUCUCCACAACUAGGGUUGGAAGCUGUCAUAUAACAGUUUUUCUUCCCUUUUCUGGACUUUUGUAGAAGGCACACAAGUUAUGAUGAUAACUUCAGCCGUACUGUGAUCUUCAUGUUUUUAACUGCUUUCUCAGAAGCCUGAAGCCUUUUCUGCAGGACACAGCCAGGAGCUGCUCUACGUAAGGGCUGUCAUGCUGCACUGCGCUCCCACUUAUCUCCCCGCUGCUCACCCUUCUUGAAUAGCUGAAGCAUGGUGUGGAUUGCACUUGUUUCAGCAAAGAAAACUCUGCCAAGUGAAAGCAAAGCUUGCCCACCAACGUGGAGAGGAUUUCAUUGUCCGAAGAAAUUGCCUCAGCAAAAAGGCUGGCAUGGAGAUCUGUGUAGACUCGGACAGGCUCUGCAUUAUCCAUAA